AUGGCCCCAAACAGAGCUCCCGGACCUGAUAAUAUUCCUGUGGAAUUUUAUCAGGUCUGUUGGGAUAUAGUCAAGAACGAUAUUAUGGCCCUAUUUGACCACUUCCAUCAAGGUAAGCUUGAUGUGAAACACCUCAAUUAUGGGAUAAUUACCCUUCUGCCUAAAGUAUCUAGUGCCGAGAGAAUCCAGCAAUUUAGACCCAUCUGCCUGCUUCGUUGCCCCUAUAAGCUCAUAACUAAAGUUCUCGACCGUAGGGUUGCUAUAUACGCUGAUAAACUCAUCAGCCUCACCCAGAAUGCUUUUGUGAAAGGGAGGAACAUCAUGGACGGUGUACUCUCACUCCAUGAGAUUCUUAACUAUACACAUGUCAAGAAAAAAGUGGGAAUUGUCCUUAAACUUGACUUCGAAAAAGCCUAUGACAAAGUAAACUGGGACUUCCUUCUUGAAUGUCACAAAAUGCGUGGUUUUAAUGAAACCUGGUGUGGAUGGAUUAAGCAAAUUCUUUACGAGGGGACAGUUAGCAUCAAGUUGAAUAACUGUACGGGGCCGUACUUUCAAAGAGCUAAGGGGGUCCGACAAGGUGACCCCCACUCUCCUUUUCUGUUCAAUUUGGCUGUGGGAUGCCUCAUCAAAAUGAUUAAAAAUGCCCAAAAAAACAAGUUGAUCACAGGUCUGGCAUCUGACCUUAUUCCUGAAGGGGUGGCUGUUCUGCAGUACGCAGAUGACAUCAUCAUUUGCUUGGAG
rnacentral:rRNA from 1 species